rnacentral:rRNA from 1 species
UACGAAGGGGGCUAGCGUUGCUCGGAAUCACUGGGCGUAAAGCGCGCGCAGGCGGUCUUCCAAGUCAGUGGUGAAAGCCCGGAGCUCAACUCCGGAAUUGCCAUUGAAACUGUUAGACUUGAGGAUGAGAGAGGUGAGUGGAAUUCCCAGUGUAGAGGUGAAAUUCGUAGAUAUUGGGAAGAACACCGGUGGCGAAGGCGGCUCACUGGCUCAUUACUGACGCUCAGGCGCGAUAGCGUGGGGAUCAAACAGG